GGGCAGUGUGAUGAACAAAACCAAAUCACCAUCUUUCGGUUGAAAACAUGAUGAUUUGUUCUACCUGACAGCUC